UAAAUUUUAUUUAUUAAUUUUAUUUAUUUAAGUAUUAUAUUUAAUAAAAAUAAUUUUAAUUCAGUAUAGUUUUAGUAUUUUUUAAAGAAAUAAUAAUUUUAAUAAUAGUUUAUUUGUAUUGUAAAAGAAGAUUGAAAUAAUUUGAAAAAUUUUUAUUUUAAAAGAAAAUUUAAUUUAUUGUACCUUGUGUAUCAGGGUUUAUUAAUUAAUUAAUUAUUAUAGUAAUUUUUCUCGAAUUUUAAAGAUUUAAUUAUAUAUAAAAGUUAUUGUGGAAUAAUUAUUUUUAAUAUAUAAUUAGAAAUGAAAUGUUAAUCGUUUUAAAAUAUAUCUAGUUUUUUAAGAAAUAAAUUUAAUUUAGAUUUAUAAAUUAAAAGUAUUAUUUAUUUAAUAUUUUUAAUUUAUAAAAUUAAUAUUUUAAGGGAUUAGCUUUAAAAUAAAUUUUUAAAUUUUAAAAAAGUAUUUAAUAAAUGUAAGCUUAAAAAUAGUUAUCAUUAAUAAAUUUGUUAUAAUUUAUUUUAAAUUUUUUAUUAUUUAUUAUAAAAUUAAAUUAUUUAUUAAAAUAUAAAUUUUAAUAUUAAUGAUUUAUAAAUUAUGGUAAAAUUAGUAUAUUUAAUUUAUAUAAAUUAUUUAAAUUGAGAGGUUUAAAUAAGGAAUUCGGCAAAUUAUAUAUUCACCUGUUUAUCAAAAACAUGUCUUUUUGUAUUUAAUUUAAAGUCUAACCUGCCCACUGAUAGAUAUUAAAGGGCCGCAGUAUUUUGACUGUGCGAAGGUAGCAUAAUCAGUAGUCUUUUAAUUGAAGGCUUGUAUGAAUGGUUGAAUGAGAUAUAUACUGUCUUUUUUAAAUUUUUAUAGAAUUUUAUUUUUUAAUUAAAAAGUUAAAAUAUAAUUAAAAGACGAGAAGACCCUAUAGAUCUUUAUUUUUUUUUAAUUAUAAGUUAAAAAGAAUAAUUAAAUUUAUAGUUUUAUAAAAAAUUUUACUGGGGUGGUAUUAAAAUUUAAUUAACUUUUAUUAUUUGUUUACAUUAAUAUAUGUAUAUUUGAUCCAAUUUUAUUGAUUAAAAAAUUAAGUUACCUUAGGGAUAACAGCGUAAUUUUUUUUUAGAGUUCUUAUCGACAAAAAAGAUUGCGACCUCGAUGUUGGAUUAAGAAUUAUUUUUAGGUGUAGAAGUUUAAAGUUUAGGUCUGUUCGACCUUUGAAUUCUUACAUGAUCUGAGUUCAAACCGGCGUAAGCCAGGUUGGUUUCUAUCUUUAAUAAAUUAUUAUAUUAUAGUACGAAAGGACCUAAUAUAAAAAAUAUAAAUUUUAAAUUUAUGAAUUAUAUUAAUAUUUAAUAA
rnacentral:rRNA from 1 species